rnacentral:lncRNA from 1 species
UAUAUAUAUAUAUAUAUAUGUGUAUAUAUAUAUAUAUGUGUAUAUAUAUAUAUAUAUAUAUAUACACACUUAAACACACACUACCACAGCAGCACCUCCAUUCCCAUCACCAAUGCAUGAUUCCAUUUUUAUGAUACACCUGUCACUCAGUCAUUAGUGUUCCUGCUACUUUGAUCUUGUCAGUGGUGGUUGUAUUGGUGUUUGAUAAUAGGAUACAAGACUGAUUGACUCCUUGUGCUAGAAAGAUGAAUCUGGUAGUGUCUUUGUUAACUUAGAUAACGGUAAUGGUUGUAUGGUGAAGUAUAUGACAACAAUGUCCAGAGCUUUGAUUCUAAGUGAAUCUUAAAUUCAAUUAAAAUUUUGGGGACUAAUUUGUAUAAUAACUCUUUGUAAAUAUUAUCCAUGAUUAUAAUACAAUUAUAAUAAACUGCUUCCUCUGUAUUUGGUGGCUGUUGUUUAGCCCCUUGCCAACUACUAUCAAACUUUUUUCCUACUGUGAUUAAGUAUCACACUUUUUCUUAGGGCUGUAGGGAUGUGAUUUGAUUGAUAGUUAUAUGCUAUUUGUAUCAGAUACAAAUUUUUUCCUUACUGGGUUGUUUGUACUUGUUUUAGAGAUUGUGUACAGUGUGUAUGUUUUGAAAAAUGAAUUUCAAUACAUUUACACAAGUUCCUCUUAUUUGAUUUUCAUUCAUGUCUGUGUGUGUAAUGGUGGUAAUAUGAUAACUAUAUCAUUGUUCCUUUCCCAGUCCUCUAAAUCAUAAGUAUCAUGUACCUGCAUAACCAUCUUUCAGUGUUGGUGGUGCAGGACUUAAUGUGUUUGACUAACUUUGGAUGGAAUUUAAAUUCUGUCAAUGGUAACAUCACUUUUCAUUCCUUGUAAGGAAGAACGUUGAUAUUUGUACCAGUAAUGUACUGGAACUGUUUGAAUUGCUUAUAUUGGUUACCUGAUUUGUAAGGUUAGUAUUGAGUAGCACUAGUGUGGCAGAAUUGUUAGGGUCAGUGCUUUGAUAUUUGCUUUUUACAUUCAGAAUUUAUAUCCUGCCAUGGUCAACUUUAUUUUCUGUUCUUGUGGGAAAGUACUAGUCAAUGUUGUUGGUUUGUUUUGGCUCUGCACCCUCCCACCAAAUCUAUGGCUUUGUAUCAAUAAAAGACCAUUAUUAUUACAUCACCACUGGUGUUCCUGUAAAUUCAGAACAAGAUAUAAAUUAUCUGAUUUGGCUAUUUUUCCAUUUGCAUUAAAAGAAAUAAUUGUUUGCUUUGCUGUCUGAAGUUUACUUUGGAUUUCAUGUUGAAACCUCUUUUUUCAUGUAUCUUGUGUAUUACUCAGGAGCCCCCCAAAAGGCAUGUGCAUUGUAGCUUCUUGCUUUUUACUUUUUCAUUAUAAGUUGUUGGAAUUGGUGCAAAAAGGAAAGAGAGCUGGAUUGGAUAAUCUAAAGCAGUCUUUUGGGAAUAAAUUCCUUCUGGUAUUGUUACAAGAAAUGCAUAGUGUCCAAAAAGUGGGUUGUGGGUGGGUAAGGAAAAUAGUAGCAAUGAUUUAAUUCCGCAGAGUUUCAUUUCGUAAAAGAAAUUUUAAUUAUUUUGUUAUUCAAAAAAAAAAAAAUGAUAUUAUUUUGGGUUAAAAAUCCUGCUAGAGUCAGCUUUACCUUCUGUCCUUAUGAGGAUUGAUUUAUUUCAGUGCCUCACAAUUUGUGGCCUUGUACCUCUACUAAGAAUUAUUAAUCAGAGUACAGUGAUGGAGUGGCAGUAACAUUAAUACUAGUUUCACUCAUUUGGUGAUUAAACUUUUCCUUUCAUCCCUCCAGGGUCAAGUGACAGUCAAGUAUAUGACUUGAUUGAAUUGACCAACUGCUACUCUCAAAUAGGUGACCAUGUGUCUUAUUAUUAGAAAUUAUUAUUCUUAUUGAAGUUUAAUGUCUGAAAUGGUGGUGCUGGAUAAUGUGCAUUGUGGAAUUCAGUGAUGCUGAGUUCAUAUUUUACCAUGGUUUGUUUUGACUGGGUUGAUCAGUUAAACUGUUUUCCUACAAAUCUGUGUUCUUAUGUCUUGUACCAGUGUGACACCUAAU